rnacentral:rRNA from 1 species
ACACUCCUACGGGAGGCAGCAGUGGGGAAUUUUGGACAAUGGGCGAAAGCCUGAUCCAGCCAUGCCGCGUGCAGGAUGAAGGCCUUCGGGUUGUAAACUGCUUUUGUACGGAACGAAACGGCCUUUUCUAAUAAAGAGGGCUAAUGACGGUACCGUAAGAAUAAGCACCGGCUAACUACGUGCCAGCAGCCGCGGUAAUACGUAGGGUGCAAGCGUUAAUCGGAAUUACUGGGCGUAAAGCGUGCGCAGGCGGUUAUGUAAGACAGUUGUGAAAUCCCCGGGCUCAACCUGGGAACUGCAGCUGGGACUGCAUAGCUAGAGUACGGUAGAGGGGGAUGGAAUUCCGCGUGUAGCAGUGAAAUGCGUAGAUAUGCGGAGGAACACCGAUGGCGAAGGCAAUCCCCUGGACCUGUACUGACGCUCAUGCACGAAAGCGUGGGGAGCAAACAGGAUUAGAAACCCCAGUAGUCCCA